GUGCAUGUGAGUUUAGCCAUGAGAAUCUGGAAACAGCUAUUUUUAUUUUGCAGUUCUUAUUCUUUUCUUCUAUCAUCAUUCAUGUUCGUGCUACUUUAUUUAUGUGUACCCAACUCUAUAUAUUACCUGAAUUUUUCUUAUUCUGAAUACCUGAAUUUUUCUUACAAUCUUACUAUUAGCAUGAAUUUGUUAUUCUUCCAAUGACAUGUGAAUAAUUUAUUGUCUAGGUUUUGUGCUUACUUUCUUAAUUCCUGGUCCUUCAAAUUUGUGCCAUAUCAGAAGUAUACCGUUUGGAUUUUUGGCUGAAAAAACGAACUGCCAUCUCUUUUGCAUUUACUAGUUGUGGCUUAGUAUAGUUAGUUUUAGAUGUGGUUUUUUCUUUUCCUACUUCUGACUGUUUUCUUUUACUAUUAAAUUUAUUUAUAAUUUUAUAUAUGAACUCAUUAACUGGACUGAGUUGGGCUUGUUUCUU
rnacentral:misc_RNA from 1 species